AACUUCUUUAUUAAACAGACUGUGCAAAAAAGGAACCGAGAAUAUCUAAUUUAUUUUUCAGGAAAUGUUUAGGAAGGCUGUGCAAGUCACAUGCAAGAAGGUGUUACUUAGGCUGUAUGAAUUCCUAAAUGGCAGAGAAUUGAGCAUUGAGACUGCAGGGGCAUGAUCUAAACACCAUAACCGCAUUAUGCUUACUUUGUUUUGCUCCCUUUAAAAUGCAUAUCUCUUGCUUUUCUGAUACUGUA